GUGGUGGUCACACCAUUCUGUGAGUGUUUAAUACCACAUAAACCGUACGCUUUAAAAUUGCCAGAGCCGGGCGCGGUGAGAUUGCUUGUGAGGCAGGAGGAUUACUGCGGUUCAAAGCCAACUUGGUCUAUAGAGUGAGUUAGAGACCAGCCUAAUUUUAAAAAAGUCACAAUGGUAAAAAUCGUAUACAUAUUUUUUCAUAAUUUUAAAAGUUGAAAUAUAUGAAGGCCUCUCAGCCCCCAAAGUAAGUUGACUGGGAAAAGAAAAAAACCAAACUAAUGAGGAAGGCAGAAAAGUUUUAUGCACUUCUUUCGGGGGAUAAUUGAUUUAUUGGGUCUUUCUUGGCCUCAAACUCCAAUUUCUGUGCCUAGGAAGAAGAGUCCUAGAGGGGUUGUGAAUACUAGGUGGAAGGCAAUAAAAAUAUUUCUGGAGCCUUGCAUGUUGGUGCACUGGAUCCUGAGGUUUUGCAGGACUUGAAAGGGUUUUCCAAGAUCAGAUCCUGACCUCCCACAUUGAAUUCCACCUUUUAUUUCCCUGUUCUUCCUUUCCUCUUCCUGAGUUCUGGCUCCAUAUGUCUGUGGACCACACGUGUCAGAGACUUUGCUAACUGAAAAGAUCCUGUAAUUCAUUACCCAAAAAAACUGGACCACUUUGCUCCUUCUCCGGGUUUACUCUUGCAUGCUUUUCUGAGAAGUGUGGGCUUCGUAUCUCUGAAGUCGAUCUGUGUUCGCCGUCCUGCACAUUUGAUAAUUGCAGUGCCUGCCUUGCCGACCCAGGGUUUCAGGAACAUAAACUCCGGGGCUGGAGGGAAGAGUACUGUUGCCUGGGAGACGGUGGGCGGGAGAGUAAAUGGACUUGGUGGCAGCUGUUUACACUUACAGCUUGUUUCUUACUAUCAUCCAUCUUUGCUGCAUUCAGCAGGGUUUUUAUGGUAAGCCGAAGAACCAAGAUUAAUUUAUGGAAAGGGGAUGGCAAAAUAUCUAUUGUUCAGUCGAUAUUGGUUUCAUUCCUCUCUCUGUCUUUCUCGUUGCCGGUCCAUCAAUUAAGUAGCAGAACUUUUCCCAAAAUAACUUGGUCGGGAGCUGAAAAGCUUUCCUGAUACUUAUUGACUGUAAAAUCAAUAACUGUUGGUUUAAGAGGAAAAUAAAUAUGUCUGACUUGGGUUUUAGUUUUGACCUUUAUUGGACUUCUUUCUAGUCUGUCAUUUUAGUGGAAAAUCCCAGCGCACAUCUGUGGAAGCAUGUCACAUCUAAACUAAGUGCACAGGUGUUGAAUUUACUUUCAUUUUUUUAAUUUUGGGUCUGAGCUCAGUCUCCUAUCUCCCUCUAAGGAGUUACUUAAUUCAGCCCUUGGCACAGGGAUGAGGAGCCUAGGAAAUGGCUCCUGGUUUUCAGUGCAGUGGGAAGCCACAGAAGGUUAGCAUGUAGCUGGAUUAUGAACAAUCUUCUUGGCAUUGUGGCCUGGCUUUGUGUUACUUUGUUUGUUUUGGUUUUUUUUUUUCUCUCUCUCUUUUUUUUUCUAAAGUAAAUUGGCAUAACAUCUUGAACCUUCCAGCAAAAAAGAGAUUAGGACCUGGAACACUGGCCUCUUCAGAACCCAAUGUCCUUAACACCAGCCUGUCAUUUUUAGUCCAAGUGGGCUUCUCCUGUCUUCUCUGCAUUUACUGCUUCCCAAAGAAACUUUUUAUGAAGUACAAGCUAAAUUCUUCUGUGUGUGUGUGUGUGUGUGUGUGUGUGUGUGUGUGUGUGAUUAUUAGCAUGUAUACAUCUUCUUUCUUCCCUGAUGCCCUCUCCAGGAUCUCACGUACUCAGGUUGGCUUUGGACUAGCCAUAUAGCCAAGGAAAACCUUGGUAUGUCGGCUGUGACUGGACAAGGGGAUAGGCCAGAGAGCACUUGUGAGGAAGACUACCCUAGUCUUAGUUAACUUCCUGUUGUUGUGAUAAUCCCCUGUGUAGUCCUGGCUGUCCUAGAACUCACCAUGUAGACUAGGCUGGCCUCAGAGAUCUGCCUGCUUCUACCUCCUGAGUGUUACAACUAAAGGUGUGCCCCACCACCGCCCGUGUCUCCAUUUUUUUUUUUUUUUUUCUAUCCCGGUUACAGAAUGGUGCCAAUCCACAGUGGAUUGGUUUUUCCCUCUCAAGGAGUCAAGAUGGCAAUGCCUCACUGGCAUGUCAAAGGUUCAUCUUCCAGGGGAUUCUAGAUUUGGCUAAGGUGACAAUGCUAACUAUCACACCUUCUAUCACAACAGUUCUGGAGAGGGACUGGGCAGUGGCAGGCAAUUUGAAGUUUGACUUGCCUACUGUGGUGUUUAUUAAACUAGCCACAUGAUGUAGUUUGUAUACAGUCAAGUCCUCUCCAUCAAUCUAAACAUAUAUAGACCUUUAUUCCUUGUUAUUUAUAGCACCUGUUCCCAUGGAAUUGCAUUGUGUUAGGUUUAGGAACAAUCUAAAGAUAAUUUUAGAGGUGGAGGGAAAUAUGCUUAGAUUAUGCAAAUACUACACUGAUUUCUGUAAAGGACCUGACUCUUUAUAGGUGAAAAGCGCAUUUCGGAACCAGUGCUUGAAGAGAGACAGCUGUAUUAUACAUUACUGUCAAAAUGAAACCCAGUUCACUGGGGCUGGAGAGGGGCUAGGUGGUUAAGAGCACUUGUUCUUGCAGAGGACCCAGGUUCUAUUUCCAGUGUCCACAUGGCAACUUAUAACUGUCUGUUGUUCUUCAUUUCCCAGGGAUUCUGAUCUCCUCGGGCACUGCACACACAUGGUAUACAUAUGCGUACAUACAGGCAAAACACCCAUACAC
rnacentral:lncRNA from 1 species